GUUUUGCUGGAGGCAUAAUCUAGACUUCAUAAAUUAUCAGCCAGUCUGCUCUGCUCAGCUCAGCUUUGUUCAGAAAACAUGUACUGAGAAGCUGUUUUAAGCUCCACAUUCACAUAGACCAUGCUUUGCAGAAGCUCGGAGUCCAUAGGGGCUGCAGACCCACAAAGGGAUCACCAUGGUACAAUGUGCAGAAAAAAGCAGAGGCAACUCUCCUCCAAGACACUAUGGCCAACUGAAGCCCAAAGCCAGCUGAGAGGGGAGUCUGGGAACUGCAGGGUGCAUCAUCAACCCAGUGAAAUGCAGACCAGAGCAGAGGAAGGCCAGGAUCUGCACAGCUCAUUCGCUUUUUAUGGACUUACUUUCCAAGGAAGAAGGUGUGAAACUGUAUAACCCCAUCUCUGAUAAAGAUUGAUGAAGGGAGAGAGAGGAGGAGAGAGGCAAGUGUUCCAGGCAGAGAAAUAGAGACACGACCCUGAACUGGAGCAUUGACUUCCUUCUCUCCCUUUCUCCUUCCUUCCCUCCCUUCCCCUCUUCCCCACUCCAGUUCUUCCUCCCUUCUGUCCUACAUUCCUCCCUUCCUGUCUUUUUCUCUACACCCUGGAGUCUGGAGUCUGUGUGAUGUGUUUCUGUUGUUGUUAUUUUCUUCUGACUCUUCCGGUUUUCCUCCAUGCCUUCCUUAAAUUACUCCCAGGCCCUGCCUCGUGUCUUAUGGGUCCCUCCCUGAGAAGUAUAUUGGCUGGGGAAAAGCUCUGAGGGAGCAGAGCAUGCAUUAGACACAGAAGGGUUGGCUUCUCCCAUCUUCUUGUCCUUUGACUUUUGCAUAUGUGGCCCUCCCCAUCUCAUCAGCUGCUAGCCUGGAGCUCCGGAGGGUGGAGUCUCCUCCAUGCCUUGCAGGGUGCUGCGUGCAGCAGGUGCUCAAGGCUGCGGAGUCAGGAUUUGAAGCUGAGCUCCAGUAUGAGACACUGGGGAAGGUCUUAAUUCCCAAAUUCCAUUUUCCCAUCAGAAUAAUGGAAUGGGGUUUUCAAAUAUCAACUCUGCACAGUUUUUAUGGGAAGAACCCAUUGUUAUUGCAGUCCAUGAGGCAUGUGCCUGGAGCAAUGUAAGUUUUGAUUUUUCCUUUUUUUUAAUACAUGAUUCCUGCCUGGAUUACUGAAGCAGCCUCCUAAGGGCCUCCCUGCUUUGACUCUCAGCUCCCACUGUGUCUCUCAACAUACCAGCCAGAGUGAUCUUUUCACACCGCAAGUUGGGAUCUCCAUGCCGCAUCUUGCUCCCAGCCUCACCAUGGCACGCGUUCCACCUGGGAUGAACACUAAACUCAUUCCAGAAGCCUUCAAAGCUCUGUGUGGUCCAGUUUUUUCCAUUUUGACUCUUCCCUUUGUGUCUUGUUUACUCUUCCCCAAUGUGGCUCACCCCUGCCUUUGGGCCUUCCCAUUUACUGUCUAGAGACUCUGCCCCACUGCCCAUAUGGUGAACCCCUCAUGACCUGCAAGCCCUGAGGCCUCCUCUGACACCUCCAUUAAAAUUGCAGCUCUGCCAGGUGUGAUGGCUCACACCUGUAAUCCCAGCACUUUGGGAGGCCGAGGUGGGUGGAUCACGAGGACAAGAGAUUGAGACCAUCCUGGCCAACAUGGUGAAACCCCAUCUCUACUAAAAAUACAAAAAUUAGCUGGGCGUGGUGGUGCAUGCCUGUAGUCCCAGCUACUCGGGAGGCUGAGGCAGGAGAAUAGCUUGAACUCGGGAGGCGGAGGUUGCAGUGAGCUGAGCUCUCGCCAUUGCGGUCUAGCCUGGCGACAGAGCAAGACUCAAAAGAAAAAAAAAAAAAGAAAGAAAAUUUCAGCAAACCCCCUACACCUUGCCCAAUACCCUGGCAUCUCUAAUCCGGCUUCCUUCAUUGGUGAAAUGUAGCCUUCCUUAUCUGCCCUAGCAUGUGGCAUCUUCUCACAUCCUAGAUCAUUCUCACAGGGCUAGGUAUGAUUCCCUAGAAUCCAUUUCAGCUGGUGAGAGACCGAGUGGUGGUUCUACUCUUCCCAGCAGGUGGCAGGGCCCUCUUGGGGCUUCUGUGUCUUCAUCACCCCUGUGAAAGGGCUGGUCUCUAUGAGCUUCAACUUCCCUUUGGAGUUUAAAUUCCAUUGUGCUGCCCAUACACACAUUUUGAGAAGCCAUUUGCUCUACAACUGGGGAGAACAUGUAUUUCUUUUCCCACAUCUGUCCCUAUUGUCAGGCUGGAAGGUGAGAGUCUAAAUCCACAAGUGAAGGAAUGCAACAUGGGAAGUGUCUCAAAGAACAUCUCCAGAGGGACAGGAUGCUCAGUGGAGUGGGCUGACCUCUCCCCGCUGGUGCCCAGGGCUCUCUCUUCACUGCGGUUCCUAAUGUGGCUGCUUCAUUGACUGUGUGGAGGGAGAACAGGAUGCUGAGAUGACCAGAGGGCGAGUCAAACUUGCAAACCUCUAAAGGAACGUCCAAGCUCCCCAGCCAUUCAUCCAUUCAUCUGCCUAUUCAAUGAUUUGUUCAUUCUUUCCUCCAGAUUAUAGUCCCUUAGACACCAAACGUCUUUAAAGGUAUCCCUGGUAUUUCUUAUGGCUCCUUGAUAUGGUUUUGCUGUGUCCCCACCCAAAUCUCAUCUUGAAUUUCCACAUGUUGUGAGAGGGACCCAGUGGGAGGUAACUGAAUCAUGGGUGCAAGUCUUUCUCAUGCUGUUCUCAUGAUAGUGAAUAAGUCUCAUGAGAUCUGAUGGUAAUAUAAGGGGGAGUUUCCCUGCUCAAGCUCUCUCUUUGCCUGCUGCCAUCCAUGUAAGAUGUGACUUGCUUCUCCUUGUGUUCUGCCAUGAUUGUGAGGCCUCCUCAGCCAUAUGGAGCUGUGAGUCCAAUUAAACCUCUUUCUUUUGUAAAUUUCCCAGUCUCAAAUAUGUCUUUAUCAGCAGCAUGAAAACGGACUAAUACACUCCUCUUAAACCCUUAGCUAUGUAAUUUUUGUUGUCCCCUCUCUGAGCCACCAUUUAUGCCGUUUGCUUAACUUCUGU
rnacentral:lncRNA from 10 species